CAGUCGCCGCGGUAAUACGAAGGGGGCUAGCGUUGUUCGGAUUUACUGGGCGUAAAGCGCACGUAGGCGGACUUUUAAGUCAGGGGUGAAAUCCCGGGGCUCAACCCCGGAACUGCCUUUGAUACUGGAAGUCUUGAGUAUGGUAGAGGUGAGUGGAAUUCCGAGUGUAGAGGUGAAAUUCGUAGAUAUUCGGAGGAACACCAGUGGCGAAGGCGGCUCACUGGACCAUUACUGACGCUGAGGUGCGAAAGCGUGGGGAGCAAACAGGAUUAGAUACCCGUGUAGUCCCUGUCUCUUAUAC
rnacentral:rRNA from 1 species